rnacentral:rRNA from 1 species
UGAGGAAUAUUGCGCAAUGGACGAAAGUCUGACGCAGCCAUGCCGCGUGCAGGAUUGAAGGCCCUAUGGGUUGUAAACUGCUUUUAUACGGGAAUAAACCUUUCCUCGUGAGGGAAGCUGAAGGUACCGUAAGAAUAAGCACCGGCUAACUCCGUGCCAGCAGCCGCGGUAAUACGGAGGGUGCAAGCGUUAUCCGGAUUUAUUGGGUUUAAAGGGUCCGUAGGCGGACCAUUAAGUCAGUGGUGAAAGCCCAUAGCUCAACUAUGGAAUUGCCAUUGAUACUGGUGGUCUUGAGUACAGUUGAAGUUGGCGGAAUGUGUGGUGUAGCGGUGAAAUGCUUAGAUAUCACACAGAACACCGAUUGCGAAGGCAGCUAACUAAGUUGUAACUGACGCUGAGG